UACAGAGGUCCCGAGCGUUGUUCGGAUUCACUGGGCGUAAAGGGUGCGUAGGUGGUUGGGUAAGUCUGAUGUGAAAUCUCCGGGCUCAACCCGGAAAUGGCAUUGGAUACUAUUCGGCUAGAGGUUUGGAGGGGGGACUGGAAUUCUCGGUGUAGCAGUGAAAUGCGUAGAUAUCGAGAGGAACACCAGUGGCGAAAGCGGCUUCCUGGUCCAGCACCGACGUUCAGGCACGAAAGCGUGGGGAGCAAACAGG
rnacentral:rRNA from 1 species